GGGCCGUUAGCUCAAUGGUAGAGCAAGUGACUCUUAAUCACUAGGUUCGGGGUUCGAGCCCCUGACGGCUCACCA
rnacentral:tRNA from 1 species